AACACGUGGAUAACCUACCUAUAAGACUGGGAUAACUUCGGGAAACCGGAGCUAAUACCGGAUAAUAUUUUGAACCGCAUGGUUCAAAAGUGAAAGACGGUCUUGCUGUCACUUAUAGAUGGAUCCGCGCUGCAUUAGCUAGUUGGUAAGGUAACGGCUUACCAAGGCAACGAUGCAUAGCCGACCUGAGAGGGUGAUCGGCCACACUGGAACUGAGACACGGUCCAGACUCCUACGGGAGGCAGCAGUAGGGAAUCUUCCGCAAUGGGCGAAAGCCUGACGGAGCAACGCCGCGUGAGUGAUGAAGGUCUUCGGAUCGUAAAACUCUGUUAUUAGGGAAGAACAUAUGUGUAAGUAACUGUGCACAUCUUGACGGUACCUAAUCAGAAAGCCACGGCUAACUACGUGCCAGCAGCCGCGGUAAUACGUAGGUGGCAAGCGUUAUCCGGAAUUAUUGGGCGUAAAGCGCGCGUAGGCGGUUUUUUAAGUCUGAUGUGAAAGCCCACGGCUCAACCGUGGAGGGUCAUUGGAAACUGGAAAACUUGAGUGCAGAAGAGGAAAGUGGAAUUCCAUGUGUAGCGGUGAAAUGCGCAGAGAUAUGGAGGAACACCAGUGGCGAAGGCGACUUUCUGGUCUGUAACUGACGCUGAUGUGCGAAAGCGUGGGGAUCAAACAGGAUUAGAUACCCUGGUAGUCCACGCCGUAAACGAUGAGUGCUAAGUGUUAGGGGGUUUCCGCCCCUUAGUGCUGCAGCUAACGCAUUAAGCACUCCGCCUGGGGAGUACGACCGCAAGGUUGAAACUCAAAGGAAUUGACGGGGACCCGCACAAGCGGUGGAGCAUGUGGUUUAAUUCGAAGCAACGCGAAGAACCUUACCAAAUCUUGACAUCCUUUGACAACUCUAGAGAUAGAGCCUUCCCCUUCGGGGGACAAAGUGACAGGUGGUGCAUGGUUGUCGUCAGCUCGUGUCGUGAGAUGUUGGGUUAAGUCCCGCAACGAGCGCAACCCUUAAGCUUAGUUGCCAUCAUUAAGUUGGGCACUCUAAGUUGACUGCCGGUGACAAACCGGAGGAAGGUGGGGAUGACGUCAAAUCAUCAUGCCCCUUAUGAUUUGGGCUACACACGUGCUACAAUGGACAAUACAAAGGGCAGCGAAACCGCGAGGUCAAGCAAAUCCCAUAAAGUUGUUCUCAGUUCGGAUUGUAGUCUGCAACUCGACUACAUGAAGCUGGAAUCGCUAGUAAUCGUAGAUCAGCAUGCUACGGUGAAUACGUUCCCGGGUCUUGUACACACCGCCCGUCACACCACGAGAGUUUGUAACACCCGAAGCCGGUGGAGUAACCUUUUAGGAGCUAGCCGUCGAAGGUGGGACAAAUGAUUGGGGUGAAGUCGUAACAAGGUAGCCGUAUCGGAAGGUGCGGCUGGAUCACCUCCUUU
rnacentral:rRNA from 1 species